AUAGAGGAUUGAAGAAGCUCAUAAGCAGAGAACAAGGAAACAGAAGACACAGGAAGGACUGUUUGGAGACAUGGUCAUCAGACACCUCUGAGCAUAAUAUUUCGAAGACCAGAAAGAGUCUUAUGGAAUUUUCAAGAAU
rnacentral:lncRNA from 1 species